rnacentral:piRNA from 5 species
UAGCCAAUGAGGUUUAUCCGAGGCG